rnacentral:tRNA from 1 species
GUCCUCUGUGGCGCAAUUGGUGUAGCGCGAUUCGGCUGUUAACCGAAGGAAGGUGUUUCGAGCCCACCCAGGGACG